UGUGUAGGUGGCUGAGUAAGUCAAAGAUGAAAUCCCGUGGCUCAACUGCGGAACCGUCUUUGAAACUGCUCGGCUUGAGGAUAGUGGAGGAGAAUGGAAUUCCCGGUGGAGCGGUGAAAUGCGUAGAUAUCGGGAGGAACACCCGAGGCGAAGGCGAUUCUCUAAGCUAUUCCUGACACUGAAACACGAAAGCUAGGGGAGCGAACGGGAUUAGAUACCCCGGUAGUCCUAGCCAUAAACGAUGGACACUAGAUAUUCCUGCGUUUAUGUGGGAGUGUCGAAGCUAACGCGAUAAGUGUCCCGCCUGGGGAGUACGGUCGCAAGGCUGAA
rnacentral:rRNA from 1 species